CUCUUUGAGCGCCAAUCUCUUACACGCGUUUCUCCUUCUUUUUUUCUUAAUUCAUCAUUACCUCUCUCCAAUCUAGAUCUCCGUUUUUUCAUCUUCUCCUCCAACCUCUGUAAUCCAUCAUCCUCUAUUCAAACAUCCAUUCUUUUGUUUUCACUCUCGCUGAAUCAAUCAAUCUCUAUUGAAUUGGAGUUACCUUUUUUAUUCUUCCAUUUGAUUGAGGGUUGUUACAAUAAAAAACCCUAAAUUCAGUGUUUCCUUUCAUCCUUUGCCUCCCAAUUGAAAGAACCCUAGAUCUCAUCUCUGUACCUGGUUAUGAUCAAUUAUGAUCAAUCUUCAAAGUCUACCCAUCGGUACUUAUGUCAUCUUCCUCAAGAUCUACAUAUAUAAUGAGAACGGUUUGCGUGUUUGAAAGUCCCAAAGGAACAAAAAUUUUCAAAAGUUGCUAGGGAUUUGAUUUUUCAUUUUCCAUGUGAUGUGGAAUCAAGGUUAGGUACCGGUGGAAUUGAGGAAACAAAGGUAAAUCAAUUUGAGUUCGGACAAUCUUAACACAGGUAUUACAUUGGCAUUGCAUUUUGUUAUUAACUGAGGUAGUAAUUUUUGUCAUUUUUUUGAGCAUUAUGUUCUUUGCAAUGUUUUGUAUGUAGGCCAAACUGUAGACAAGUUGUUAGUAAAUGGAUUUUCUGAUUCGUGAGGUUCGAAAGGCUAAAUUAUUUCCAAAGCAACAUCACCAGCCUUAUGUAUGAUAUGCUUGAAUGACCGAAUUGAAUGGAAAAAUUACUUAUGUUAGUUAAUAUAAAUGAAUGUUUUUUUUUCUUUCCUGUUUUAUGUGUUAUAUAUCUAGAUGACUCAAUGUUCUCAGCUAAGAUGUGUAUUGGUUGUAGGUGAAGGGGUCAACUUAAGUCAAACUUCAUUUGCAGUUGUAGUGUUUUUGAAGCGGAAGUUUCAAAGAUGGAAAACAAGAAUUGAACCAUUUAUGAACCUUCAUUAUAUCGAGUUUCCUCAAGAAUUUGAAGACAGAUGCGCGUCUUGAUUAAUAUGAUGCAAGAAUCCAUUCACAUUUUCUUUAUAACAUCAAUUAAUGGUUCGGAUCUUUUUAGAGAGAAGUCCAACUUUGACUUUUUGAGUUAUGCAUGUAUGGGUAGUGAUGUGGUGCUUAGGGCGGACUUCUAGCAUGUAUCAAGUUUUCAUAUCUUGGUCAUACCAUACUCAUUUUUUAGAUGUAUAUCAUGUGCCGCCCUGAUGGAAGAGAUAGAAGCAUUGGUUAACCGACACCCAGAUAAACUCCACAUGGAGACAUUUCGAAGGUCAAAUAAGGUAUACAAUGCUGAACUGAAUGUCGUUACAUAUUGCCAGAACAGAACAGCUAUUGAAGACAAAUCGAAGUUUCGAAUACUUCUUGUGAGUCAUUUCACUUUGAAUUUGUAAAUGCAUCACAUUAAGGGCAAACCGAUAAAUUUCCACUUUUAGCCUUCUUAUUAUACUAUAUAUUAAUUUGCAUCACUAGCUACAAUGGAGACAAUAGUCUUUUUUUUAUGUAAACAAAGCACAAGACCUGAAAAAAGCAUCAAAUUUGAUGAUUCAAUGUGUGACCUUAUCCUUAUUGAUUAAUGUUUUAGCUGCACAAAAUUUUCGCUCAGCCUCUCUAAAAGGUACUAUGAUUCCUCAUCAAAUGGGAUUAGAUUAUUUGGUUGAUUAAGAAUUAGAGAUCGGUUUAUGAUUCUUGAAUCUUUAUUAAUAUGAUGCAGGAAUUGAACCAUUUAUGAACCUUCACUAUAUCAAGUUUCCUCAAGAAUUUGAAGACAGAUGCGCUUCUUGAUUAAUAUGAUGCAAGAAUCCAUUCACAUUUUUUUUAUAACAUCAAUUAAUGGUGAUAUCAUUCGACUUUGACGGACGAAAUUACAAGAAUACAUAAUAUAACUUAGGAUCUUGACCUGUAACAAAAUUGUACAUACCCCAUAUGGAACACUUGAAAAUAGUAAAAUUUGAUUGAUUGGCUUUGAGACACAAUGCAUGGGAGCUUUCGAACAAAUAAAGGCUAAACAAAAGGUGCUUAGAGGAAAGUAUUCAACGAGUGGAAAGAAGUCAGGAGCUAACUUUCCUAUGGUUAAAACAUAAAGCAAAAAUUGAGAAUUUAGACAUGGAUGGUUGGUUCCAAUUGGGUGUUAAUGUAAUCGAAAUCUAACUUUGAUGUAAUCUGGGUCUUCUCUUAGCCACUUGCUAUGAGAGGCAUGUUCUAAUGAGAUUGCUGCCUUCAUUGUAGUUU